CGUAACGUAGCACAGUGGUUAGUGCAGCCUGCCGGAAACAGGAAGACGCGCGUUCAAUUCCCGUCCGAUGUCA
rfam:Nippostrongylus brasiliensis genome assembly, scaffold: NBR_scaffold0001896